UGGUCUCUGCCGUUGUUCGACAGCGGGCCGGUGUGAAAAGAACCGAUAACCAUUACUAGGGAUGUAAGUUCUAGAUGCCAAGGCGUCUGACGCGCAACCCACUUGAAAUAAUGGGUUCUUUGUUCCCCGGAUCUGCAUCGGCAUCUAGCGGAGACCAU
rnacentral:other from 1 species